rnacentral:tRNA from 3 species
GCGCCUAUAGCUCAGUUGGUAGAGCAGCUGACUCUUAAUCAGCGGGUCCGGGGUUCGAGCCCCUGUGGGCGCACCA